ensembl:lncRNA
AUCUUGUUGGAAAUCCCUGUCUACUGUAGGUUUCCUGUAGUUACCUUUUUUUGAUCUGGGAAGAUUGGAAAAGAAGGCUGGAAUGGCAGGAUGCAGAUUUGGCUUCAGUCUUUACCUUGAUGAUUUCAGUGUGUGGUUUGCUGCAUAUAAACGGCUUUCUACUUUUCUUUUUUGGAGCCUGUGGUUUUGCAUCAAGCUGUCACUUUAUUAGAGUUUUGCAGAGUGUCUGUUGACGUGACAGACUAGCCCCGGGAUGGGGUUUAUUGCUGCUAGUCCUUUACUUGGAAAGUGGUGUGGCCACCAAGAACCUGCAUAGGUAACUACAUGAUAAGAGGGAAGCCUUUCUUUCUGUAAGGAUGGAGCUCAGCAGGGUUUUGGAGGCACGCACUUGGCUACUGGGUAAGCUCUGGUCUGGAGUGACAGUGUCCUGAAGAUGGACUGCAAACCUGGUUGGCCUGGAGUGGUGAGUGGGAGCUCCGACCAUGGAGGAAGAACAGUUGGGGAAGGCAGCGGUAUGUGGUGCUGAUUUCAGGUCAAGAAGCCUCUCUUCUCCAAGCAAUUCUCUUGUAGCCUGUGCUGCUUUGGAGCACACAGUCUGCUGACAGCUGGCCCCUCAGGCAUUAGGCAUCAUCAUCACAGCUGUAAAUGUGAUGUGCUGGUUGUUCUUCACACUUAGGGAAGAGAAGGGCAACCAGUUCCUGGCAACCAGAGAGAAAAUCCUGCCGCAGUCAGAGGGCCUUGUGUGAUCUGCUGAAGGACUGACACUUCGCUUGUAGGCUGGCCUUCACGUACCAGGGUUUUGGCUUUGCAUUUGGUUUUGAGUGCAUGAGGUAUUUUGAUAUCACUGGGGCUUAUUGACCCCAAACUUGUUUCAUUUUUUCAAGACAACCAACUGGUGUACUGAAAGCAAUUGCAAAUCUUGCACUGCCUUAGAAAUUACGAGGGUAACUUGCCAAGACUGUUUUUUUUUUACGGAAUAAUCCAAGUUAAGACUUUGACGUCUUAAUUAACCAGUCCAUGGCUAUGUCUGGAGAAAACCCCAAGCCCUCAUAGGCUCAGGAUGUGGUCUACCUCCCCAUGUGCAGCAUGGUUCUGGACUACACAAGGCGCAGGCUAUAGUACCAAAUAAGCUGUCCUCAUUUGGCAGGCUGAGCUGCUCUCUGAGGACUUCAUGGCCUUGUAUGGCUCUCAGAAUGAGGUCAGAAGAUAAUUUGAGCCUGCAGUAACAUUUUUCCUCCUUCUUCUUAUUAUCUUCAUUAUAAUUACCAUCAUCCUUAUUAUUGACAGAACCAAAGCUUCUGCAACUUUCAGUAGAAAUAGCCCUUGAGGUCUGAUGUACAUAGACAAAAGCAGAUGUUACAAGCAAACAAGAUUGUUAGCUUCUUUUAGCUUCAAACCAGCUGUUAUGGUUCCUUUAACGUAUCCUUUUUCUUUUUAUCUUGAAGGCUUAAAAAAAUUUCCCUG